rnacentral:rRNA from 1 species
CAGCAGCCGCGGGAACACGAAGGGUGCAAGCGUUAAUCGGAAUUACUGGGCGUAAAGCGUGCGUAGGCGGUGAGUUAAGUCUGCUGUGAAAUCCCCGGGCUCAACCUGGGAAUGGCAGUGGAUACUGGCUCGCUAGAGUGUGUCAGAGGAUGGUGGAAUUCCCGGUGUAGCGGUGAAAUGCGUAGAGAUCGGAAGGAACAUCUGUGGCGAAGGCGACUAUCUGGGCCAACACUGACACUGAGACACGAAAGCGUGGGGAGCAAACAGGAUUAGAUACCCGGGUAGUCCCUGUCUCUUAUAC